rnacentral:rRNA from 1 species
GACGAACGCUGGCGGUGUGCCUCAAACAUGCAAGUCGAGGGAGGGUUGGCGUCUGGCUUGCCAGACGUUCAACUCUACCGGCGAACGGGUGAGUAACACGUGGGCAAUCUGCCCUGAAGACGGGGACAACCUCGGGAAACCGUGGCUAAUACCCGAUACCCUCCUUGGGGGGCAUCCCCUGGGAAGGAAAGGUCCGCAAGGUCCGCUUCAGGAGGAGCCCGCGGCCUAUCAGCUAGUUGGCGGGGUAACGGCCCACCAAGGCGUCGACGGUAGCUGGUCUGAGAGGACGACCAGCCACACUGGGACUGAGACACGGCCCAGACUCCUACGGGAGGCAGCAGUAGGGAAUCUUGCGCAAUGGGCGAAAGCCUGACGCAGCAACGCCGCGUGGGGA